UGUUACCCAUUUAUUACAAAACAUCCCCCCACCAUCCAGAUGUUAAUGUAAUAAAUUAUUAGUUUGAGGGUAGUUUAGUUUUUUACAUUUCGUUUUCCUUGGUAUUGUUGUAUAUAAACUCAUUGUACCCUACAUAUUUUGCCCUAAGUUUGGAGGCUCCUCCAUUCUUCACAAUUGUGCGUUCCCCUCCUUCGAUAGAUUUAUAAAAUUAGUUCUUCACCAGUUUGUUCUCCUCUUUGGAUAGAGUUAUCAUAUUGGUUUGUUGUUUUCUACACCAGAAAGGUACACUUUGUCACAACUUUCGCCGGGACACAAGAAAUAGAAUUCAGGUCUGAUUCUACAACCAAGCGCACUGAAGAAACCAAAAUAAUUAAACACAUUACAGUAGGCUGGUAUGUGUGCUUGAAGCCCUUCCAUCAUCAGGUGGUUGGCGAACAUGCGCGCACUAUUGAUCUGUAAAUAUCGGGGCCUGGUACAUAUGUGCACGCCACUCCUUCGGACUGUUCUUUGGCCCUGCACCAAGAUUCAACCUACAAAGAUAAAUCUGAGCUGAUUCGAGUUAAAUAGCCUACAAAAUGAUAAGAUCUAAGGCUCAAAUAAGUGUAAAAUUUACACGUAUGAAUUAUCCAUAUGGUUAAAUAAAUAAAAGCCAAGACAAAAUAUUAUGUGGUUGUCAACGAAAGAAUUUUUAUGAUGUUGCACUCAACUGGCUGAGUCGGAUAAUUUAUUUGAUUGAGGAAUUUUAUCACCCAAGAGUGCAAAAAUCUUCACUUAACUACUUACAAUAGAGGAGUCGUUUCUUUAUUCUUCAAAAUUAUUUGCAAUAUUAACAAUGGAUAUGUAAAAUAUGACAGAAGAUAGUCUUGUCUCUUCUUCUGACAUUUAUGAUAAUAACUAGAUCUUUUGUUUGAUCUUUGAAUAGUUUUGUAGAAUAAUUCAAAGCUCUCUGCCUUUACAUGGUCUUGGUUCUUAAACGGAUUCUCAUAAUGGCUUAUUACCACCAAUAAUGAGACCAUAACGUAUUCUUAGCUGAUGUUUGUGUUAUUUAUUGGCAGCAUGGUGAGACUCAUUCACAUUGGUUUCUGCAUUGUUACAUUCUAGAGAGAGUUUACGAGAAUGUUUUGUGGAAUAUCAUGAAAAUAAGGGCAGCUUAAUUGUCCAUAUUAGUUGCUUAUAUAAUUAUGUUGAUUGUUUUUUUCCUUGUUCAGUACUGAUUGUUAUUAGAUGCAAAAUUAACUUGUCGAAAACCUUCUUUUUGUAGCCCUAGCUUUGGUGUAUAUAUCGAAGAUAACAUAAGAAUCAUAAAUAUUUUCUAAAAUAUCCAGUAGCGAAGUACUUUUUCUUUGAUAAUAUCAUACAUUACCAGUUGACCUACUAGUCAUAUGAUCUGCUGUUUUCAGCUCAUUCUGAAGUCCAUCAACUGAUGAGCCAGUACCAAUUAGGCCAAGUAACUGCAUGUCCUAUUUUUCUUUUAAUCAGAAUUUAUGUAUUUUAUUACAUGCAUAGAUGUCAAAUGAGCUGGUCCAAGACGUCCUACAUUACAGAUGUGCGGUGUCUGUCUUUUAACUUUUCCUUGUUACUUUCCGAGAAGAGGUAAAGAAAAAGCCGAAAUUGGUCUUCACGAACUCCAGACUCAAGACAACCCACCCACAAUGCACUCACCUUCUUGUUUCUAUCUUUGAUUAUUCCUUGCAAAGUUUUCUUCGAGUUUUAUAUUGAGAUUUGAGAAGGAUCUUAGUGUAAAUGUGAACUCUUCUUGCUACUUGCACGCAUUUCUCUUUCAGAAUCCAACCGACCAAUAAUGCCACCCCAACCAGCCUUUCUUCCAUGUCUACGGCUUGGGCACCCUUCCCUUACAGGUCGUUUUUCGGGGUAUAUUUUAGUCAAAGUGAUUGUUACGAUCACCUCUCCAGCAGCCCCCAGCCAUCAACCUGUCCAAUGUCCAUCCCAAGAAGGCACCACCCACAACCUAAGCACUUUAUCACCACUGCAGAUCUUGUCUAAAAAGCACAUAUGAAUGUGGAUUUAUAAGUCUAAAAAGCACCAUUGGUAUAAAUAGAGUUACAUUUCCCGUUUUAAAAUACGGAAACAAAUUCAACAAUCUGCGGUAGCAGAUGCCCUGGAUGUCCUUUUCUGUUUUUUCACUGAAAAUUGGACAAUUUGGCAGCAUGUUAUGUGUGAUUUGAGGUGAAAGGAAUCGAAUUGUCUAUGGCUUGUAGUGGGGGCCUGACUACGGACUAGAUAGGCAAUCGUCUAAAACACUGUUUUUGUGAGAGCCCAAAAAAAUAUUACAUAUAGUUCAUAAAAAAUUACAGAAAAAAUAAAGUCCAAAUGCAACCAACCAAACCAAUUUAGCUGUAUAAUUAACAAACAUAUUAAUCUUUAAUUAAAAUAUAAACCAAUUUUACACAAAAUAUCAUUUUUCAUAUUGGCCCACUUGAAUUCGUCCUUUCCUCUUUGUUAACCAUAAAAAAAUUGUACAUCUAAUUUUUUCCUUUGCAACAAAGUUACUUCUUUUUUCACUCUUUUCCUUCUUGUUUGUGUACAAUAAAUAAUGUGGUUAAUGACACGUCACCUUCGUGUGGAUUAAUGAUAAAAUAAUUUGGACAUUAUUAAACUACCUCACAUUUUUAUUUUGAUUCAAUAGUGGCAAUCCGGGUCACAUGAUUGAUUUUAUAGUGGAUUUUUAUUUAUUGUAUUUAUGUCCUGAUGGUUUUAUGGCUAAUGCUAAUGAACGUUUAGAGUUAUGAUGAGUAAAUGCUGAAAUGUGAGUAAACAGGGGUGUGAAAAGGUGUUAUUAUACUGCAAGAAAGGGAUGAUUCUAGAUAGAGGAUUCACUUGCAAUUGAAGCUAAAAUAUGAGAGACGCUUAAAAUUUUUGUCUGUUAGUAGAAGUUUUUAAAGAAUCUCAUACCUAUGGACACAAGAGUACCGUCUUAUAACACAUGAUAUUCUAGAAAUUGUGCUCCUAUCAAUUUUUGCAGAUGAAAAAAAAAAUGUAUAAAUUGUGCUCAUGCAUAUUUUCUAGGCAUCUAUUUAGCCUAUUUUUUGGCUCAUGUUUAUGAAUAAAUGCUCAAUCUACUUUUUAUCCAAAUACCACCACCCGUUUUUGUAUAUUUAUAAUUCAAGUUGUUUAUAAACACUUCCCAAGUGUUUUCUAAUGCUCAAUUUGAAUGUAUCUAAAAUUGCUUCUGGUAAGGGAUUGCAAGACUUGUUUUGCUUGUCUGAUCUAGAUUAUAUUUCCCAUUGAAAGAGAAAGUGUUUACCUCAUUUUCAAUUGCCUACAUUUAUCAUCUAACAUAAUUAUUAAAUUGUAAUUACCUAAUAGUUUUGUGGCCAUUGAUUUCAAUUAUAUUAUGAACAAAUGGUUUAAAUGAUCAACUUGAUUGAAAUUAAGAUUUAUGAUGGAUUUUUAGUCACUUUUGUAGUUGACAAGUGGUUUGUCGAUUUUGGACACAAAAGAAACUGAUUUUAUUAACAAAAAAAAAAAAAAUUGCUUUUACAAUUUAACCACACACCUCUCACAAUUCUUAUUAAAGGAAGCACUAAAGUUACUUCCACUCUCUAUCCACACUCUCUCUCUCUCUCUCUCAAAGCACUCAUAUAUGAUGCUUCUCGCUGUGUCUUUCUUUCACCACACAUGCAUACAGCCUGUAUUUUUGUUUUUCUCUCUUUCACACUUCUUAAUUCACUCUAUGACUCAAAAUAAAGUGCUAGAACAUAUUUAGUAGUGUAUGUUGGUGCCUUACAAUUCUAGAAACUUUUUAGAUUGUUUCAUAUAUGACAAUGGGCUACCUUUCAAAUAUUUCUCAGAUUCUUCUAGGAAUGCUUAAGGAUUAAGGAAUUUGUUUAGCAAGGAAUCAUCAUCAAUUUUUCUAGAGAAUUGUUGGAGCUUCCUCUUAAGCCGAUGAUGAUUUUCAAUUGGAUCAAUAGCAAUACACAUUUGACGAUGUACGAUAUACCCCAUAUUUAUUGGAAUUCGUAGAAAACAUCCCUAUUUGAGACCUUGUGUGGAAUACAACCUUUGAUGUGCGAAAAAUCCCCCUCUAUGAAAUUUGAAGUGCGAUUCACCCCCUUACCGUAUAAUUUCAUUAGUUUAGCCAUUAAAAGUAUCAAAAAUUGACAAAAUUGAAAUGGAAUUAUUGCAAUUGUG